rnacentral:rRNA from 1 species
AGUGAACGCUGGCGGUAGACCUAACACAUGCAAGUCGAACGGCAGCACAGUAAGAGCUUGCUCUUACGGGUGGCGAGUGGCGGACGGGUGAGGAAUACAUCGGAAUCUACUUUUUCGUGGGGGAUAACGUAGGGAAACGUACGCUAAUACCGCAUACGACCUACGGGUGAAAGCAGGGGAUCUUCGGACCUUGCGCGAUUGAAUGAGCCGAUGUCGGAUUAGCUAGUUGGCGGGGUAAAGGCCCACCAAGGCGACGAUCCGUAGCUGGUCUGAGAGGAUGAUCAGCCACACUGGAACUGAGACACGGUCCAGACUCCUACGGGAGGCAGCAGUGGGGAAUAUUGGACAAUGGGCGCAAGCCUGAUCCAGCCAUACCGCGUGGGUGAAGAAGGCCUUCGGGUUGUAAAGCCCUUUUGUUGGGAAAGAAAAGCAGCAGGUUAAUACCCCGCUGUUCUGACGGUACCCAAAGAAUAAGCACCGGCUAACUUCGUG